rnacentral:rRNA from 1 species
GACGAACGCUGGCGGCGUGCUUAACACAUGCAAGUCGAACGGAGAGGCCCUGCUUUUGUGGGGUGCUCGAGUGGCGAACGGGUGAGUAACACGUGAGUAACCUGCCCUUGACUUUGGGAUAACUUCAGGAAACUGGGGCUAAUACCGGAUAGGAGCUCCUGCUGCAUGGUGGGGGUUGGAAAGUUUCGGCGGUUGGGGAUGGACUCGCGGCUUAUCAGCUUGUUGGUGGGGUAGUGGCUUACCAAGGCUUUGACGGGUAGCCGGCCUGAGAGGGUGACCGGCCACAUUGGGACUGAGAUACGGCCCAGACUCCUACGGGAGGCAGCAGUGGGGAAUAUUGCACAAUGGGCGGAAGCCUGAUGCAGCAACGCCGCGUGCGGGAUGACGGCCUUCGGGUUGUAAACCGCUUUCGCCUGUGACGAAGCGUGAGUGACGGUAAUGGGUAAAGAAGCACCGGCUAACUACGUGCCAGCAGCCGCGGUGAUACGUAGGGUGCGAGCGUUGUCCGGAUUUAUUGGGCGUAAAGGGCUCGUAGGUGGUUGAUCGCGUCGGAAGUGUAAUCUUGGGGCUUAACCCUGAGCGUGCUUUCGAUACGGGUUGACUUGAGGAAGGUAGGGGAGAAUGGAAUUCCUGGUGGAGCGGUGGAAUGCGCAGAUAUCAGGAGGAACACCAGUGGCGAAGGCGGUUCUCUGGGCCUUUCCUGACGCUGAGGAGCGAAAGCGUGGGGAGCGAACAGGCUUAGAUACCCUGGUAGUCCACGCUGUAAACGGUGGGUACUAGGUGUGGGGUCCAUUCCACGGGUUCCGUGCCGUAGCUAACGCUUUAAGUACCCCGCCUGGGGAGUACGGCCGCAAGGCUAAAACUCAAAGGAAUUGACGGGGCCCCGCACAAGCGGCGGAGCAUGCGGAUUAAUUCGAUGCAACGCGUAGAACCUUACCUGGGUUUGACAUGGAUCGGGAGCGCUCAGAGAUGGGUGUGCCUCUUUUGGGGUCGGUUCACAGGUGGUGCAUGGCUGUCGUCAGCUCGUGUCGUGAGAUGUUGGGUUAAGUCCCGCAACGAGCGCAACCCUUGUUCACUGUUGCCAGCACGUUAUGGUGGGGACUCAGUGGAGACCGCCGGGGUCAACUCGGAGGAAGGUGGGGAUGACGUCAAGUCAUCAUGCCCCUUAUGUCCAGGGCUUCACGCAUGCUACAAUGGCUGGUACAGAGAGUGGCGAGCCUGUGAGGGUGAGCGAAUCUCGGAAAGCCGGUCUCAGUUCGGAUUGGGGUCUGCAACUCGACCCCAUGAAGUCGGAGUCGCUAGUAAUCGCAGAUCAGCAACGCUGCGGUGAAUACGUUCCCGGG